rnacentral:rRNA from 1 species
UCCUGGCUCAGAUUGAACGCUGGCGGCAGGCUUAACACAUGCAAGUCGAGCGGAAACGAUGAUAGCUUGCUAUCAGGCGUCGAGCGGCGGACGGGUGAGUAAUACUUAGGAAUCUACCUAGUAGUGGGGGAUAGCACGGGGAAACUCGUAUUAAUACCGCAUACGUCCUACGGGAGAAAGGGGGCAACUUGUUGCUCUCGCUAUUAGAUGAGCCUAAGUCGGAUUAGCUAGAUGGUGGGGUAAAGGCCUACCAUGGCGACGAUCUGUAGCUGGUCUGAGAGGAUGAUCAGCCACACCGGGACUGAGACACGGCCCGGACUCCUACGGGAGGCAGCAGUGGGGAAUAUUGGACAAUGGGGGAAACCCUGAUCCAGCCAUGCCGCGUGUGUGAAGAAGGCCUUUUGGUUGUAAAGCACUUUAAGCAGUGAAGAAGACUCCGUGGUUAAUACCCACGGACGAUGACA